rnacentral:rRNA from 1 species
UACGUAGGGGCGAGCGUUAUCCGGAAUUAUUGGGCGUAAAGAGUGCGUAGGUGGUUGUUUAAGCGUGGGGUGAAAGGCAAUGGCUUAACCAUUGUGAGCCUCGCGAACUGGGCGACUUGAGUGCAGGAGAGGAAAGCGGAAUUCCUAGUGUAGCGGUGAAAUGCGUAGAUAUUAGGAGGAACACCAGUGGCGAAGGCGGCUUACUGGACUGUAACUGACGUUGAGGCUCGAAAGCGUGGGGAGCAAACAGGAUUAGAUACCCGGGUAGUCCCUGAG